rnacentral:rRNA from 1 species
UUCCGGUUGAUCCUGCCGGACCUGACUGCUAUCGGAUUGAUACUAAGCCAUGCGAGUUUUUGUAGCAAUACAAGGCAGACGGCUCAGUAACACGUAGUCAAUCUAACCUAUGGAUGAGGAUAACCUCGGGAAACUGAGAAUAAUACUCAAUAGAUCAUUAUACCUGGAACGGUUUAUGGUUCAAAUGAAUUUCGCCAUAGGGUGGGACUGCGGUCUAUCAGCUUGUUGGUGAGGUAAUGGCCCACCAAGGCUAUAACAGAUACGGGCUCUGAGAGGAGAAGCCCGGAGAUGGGUACUGAGACACGGACCCAGGCCCUAUGGGGCGCAGCAGGCGAGAAAACUUUGCAAUGUGCGAAAGCACGACAAGGUUAAUCCGAGUGAUUCCUGCUAAAGGAAUCUUUUGUUAGUCAUAAUACCACUGAUGAAUAAGGGGUGGGCAAGUUCUGGUGUCAGCCGCCGCGGUAAAACCAGCACCUCAAGUGGUCAGGAGGAUUAUUGGGCCUAAAGCAUCCGUAGCCUGCUCUGUAAGUUUUCGGUUAAAUCUAUAUGCUCAACAUAUAGGCUGCCGGAAAUACUGCAGAGCUAGGAAGUGGGAGAGGUAGACGGUACUCCGUAGGAAGGGGUAAAAUCCUUUGAUCUAUGGAUGACCACCUGUGGCGAAGGCGGUCUACCAGAACACGUUCGACGGUGAGGGAUGAAAGCUGGGGGAGCAAACCGGAUUAGAUACCCGGGUAGUCCCAGCUGUAAACUAUGCAAACUCGGUGAUGCAUUGGCUUGUGGCCAGUGCAGUGCCGCAGGGAAGCCGUUAAGUUUGCCGCCUGGGAAG